UGGGGAAUUUUGCACAAUGGGGGAAACCCUGAUGCAGCGACGCCGCGUGAUUUAGAAGGCCUUCGGGUUGUAAAAAUCUUUUCUAUGGGAAGAAAAUGACAGUACCAUAGGAAUAAGGACCGGCUAAUUACGUGCCAGCAGCCGCGGUAAUACGUAAGGUCCGAGCGUUGUCCGGAAUCAUUGGGCGUAAAGGGUACGUAGGCGGGUAAGCAAGUUAGAAGUGAAAUCCUGUAGCUCAACUACAGUAAGCUUUUAAAACUGCUCAUCUUGAGAUAUGGAAGGGAAAGUGGAAUUCCUAGUGUAGCGGUGAAAUGCGCAGAUAUUAGGAGGAAUACCGGUGGCGAAGGCGACUUUCUGGUCUGUAACUGACGCUGAUGUGCGAAAGCGUGGGGAUCAAACAGG
rnacentral:rRNA from 1 species